rnacentral:lncRNA from 1 species
UGGUUUUAUAAGCAUUGCGCAUUUUCCCUGCUUUCACUCAUUUCGUCCUGCCACCUUGUCGAGAACUGCUUGCUUCUCCUUUGCCUUCUGCCAUGACUGAUCUAUCCACCCAGUGUAACUACCGGGCUCUUGGCUUUUACUGGGGAGUGUCUUUAAAGAGUACUGUGAUGUGAUCCAUCUUCAGAUCUCUCAGCUGUGGACACUGGAACCUACUCUUGUGGAGGAAGCAGAAUACAAAGAACAUUCCAUCAUCAUGAUGCACUGUUAUGGCGCCCUCUAUAGGCAACCCAGCUCUUCUAAUUUAAAAGUUGCUGCAUUUGUGAUGAUUUUCAUCUUGACUGGGGAUGCUCCCCAUUCUGAACACCAGCAUCAUGCAUCCUUUGCUCUGUUCUAGGCACAACAAUCAAAAGUGCUUAUUCCCAAACUGGACCUGACUUCAGCCAGAAUAUGUCACCGUGAGAUUCCCUAUGCAGAGGCCCAUGUGGCAACAAACUGAUGUGUCCUUCCAACAACCAGGCCUGAGACCUCACAAGACCCAACUGGAUCUCCCAGACAGAGCAGGCAGAACACCAUUUCUGCUGCCCCACAGCCCUCAAAGUUGUUACUCCCCGACUCUGGAAGGUUCUCAGUGACUAGAGACUGGUGCGGACCCCCAGCACAGUGUAGCCACCCCCAUGAAAACGUGGGAACCCUCAAGAGACAACUGAAAAAAUCUCUCUCACAACCAUCAUCAAGAUCCCAUUCCCUGCUGCCUCCAAGCUGGGGAGAGAACAUAAAGCUUGAGCUCGCCUCAGACCAGUGGUAUACAGCUCAGG